rnacentral:rRNA from 1 species
GCAAGUCGAGGGGUAGCAGGAUUAAGCUUGCUUAAUUGCUGACGACCGGCGCACGGGUGCGUAACGCGUAUGAAACCUACCUAUUACAGGGGUAUAGUCUAGAGAAAUUUGGAAUAAUCCCCCAUAACAUAAUAUAAAGGCAUCUUUAUAUUAUCAAAGGCUUCGAGCUGGUAAUAGAUGGUCAUGCGUCCUAUUAGCUAGAUGGUGAGGUAACGGCUCCCCAUGGCAACGAUAGGUAGGGGUCCUGAGAGGGAGGUC